rnacentral:rRNA from 1 species
GAGAGUUCAAGAGGACGUGAAACCGGUAGGAUGGAAACGGAUAGAGCCAAUGAACAAGCCCGCUAUUCAGCUAGGUCGGCUGCGUGCGGCCUAGCCAUUACUCCCCGAUUGGGGGUNUGGUUGGGUGCGGUAUGCGGUUGGCUAGUGCAUUUGCGGGUGAUGUGCGCUGAGGCGUGUGAUGGAGCCCUUUGAACCGUCUUUAGAGGCCUUAGCUUCGGCUUUGAAACCUGAAGGCGGGUAGAAGUGGUUUUUGUUGCACGUAGAUAAUGCGGUCAGGUUUCUCGCGCUGCCGUGUUGUGGAGGCUAGCCCUUUGGUCGGUCGCAUGCGACAUGGCCUUAUGNGUCGGUCCCCGCAAUGCGUGAGUGCCCUGAUUGAGCCUCGGUGUAAAAGUUGGUCAUCUCUCCGACCCGUCUUGAAACACGGACCAAGGAGUCUAGCGUAUACGCGAGUCAUUGGGUGGUAAACCCAUAGGCGAAAUGAAAGUGAAGGUUCAGCAAUGGACUGAUAUGCGAUCCGGUGUCCGAAAGGCAUCGGCGCAGCAUAGCCCCGUCUUAACUGCUUGCAGUAGGGCGGAGGUAGAGCGUAUUCGCUGGUACCCGAAAGAUGGUGAACUAUGCCUGAGCAGGAUGAAGCCAGAGGAAACUCUGGUGGAGGUCCGAAGCGCUUCUGACGUGCAAAUCGAUCGUCUGACUUGGGUA